rnacentral:rRNA from 1 species
AGCAGUCGCCACGGUAAAACGUAGGUGGCAAGCGUUGUCCGGAUUUAUUGGGCGUAAAGCGAGCGCAGGCGGUUUCUUAAGUCUGAUGUGAAAGCCCCCGGCUCAACCGGGGAGGGUCAUUGGAAACUGGGAGACUUGAGUGCAGAAGAGGAGAGUGGAAUUCCAUGUGUAGCGGUGAAAUGCGUAGAUAUAUGGAGGAACACCAGUGGCGAAGGCGGCUCUCUGGUCUGUAACUGACGCUGAGGCUCGAAAGCGUGGGGAGCGAACAGGAUUAGAUACCCGGGUAGUCCCUGUCUCUUAUAC